GACGAACGCUGGCGGCGUGCCUAAUACAUGCAAGUUGAGCGCUGAAGGUUGGUACUUGUACCGACUGGAUGAGCAGCGAACGGGUGAGUAACGCGUGGGGAAUCUGCCUUUGAGCGGGGGACAACAUUUGGAAACGAAUGCUAAUACCGCAUAAAAACUUUAAACACAAGUUUUAAGUUUGAAAGAUGCAAUUGCAUCACUCAAAGAUGAUCCCGCGUUGUAUUAGCUAGUUGGUGAGGUAAAGGCUCACCAAGGCGAUGAUACAUAGCCGACCUGAGAGGGGGAUCGGCCAAAUUGGGACUGAGACACGGCCCAAACUCCUACGGGAGGCAGCAGUAGGGAAUCUUCGGCAAUGGACGAAAGUCUGACCGAGCAACGCCGCGUGAGUGAAGAAGGUUUUCGGAUCGUAAAACUCUGUUGGUAGAGAAGAACGUUGGUGAGAGUGGAAAGCUCAUCAAGUGACGGUAACUACCCAGAAAGGGACGGCUAACUACGUG
rnacentral:rRNA from 1 species